UACGUAGGGGGCAAGCGUUGUCCGGAAUCAUUGGGCGUAAAGAGCGUGUAGGUGGACUGGUAGGUCUGGUGUGAAAGCCCGGGGCUCAACCCCGGAGGGUCACUGGAAACCAACAGUCUUGAGUCUGGAAGAGGAGAGUGGAAUUCCUGGUGUAGCGGUGGAAUGCGCAGAUAUCAGGAGGAACACCGGUGGCGAAGGCGGGUCUCUGGGCAGUAACUGACGCUGAGGAGCGAAAGCGUGGGGAGCGAACAGG
rnacentral:rRNA from 1 species